CCUACGGGUGGCAGCAGUAGGGAAUUUUGCGCAAUGCUCGUAAGAGUGACGCAGCAACGCCGCGUGAAUGACGAAGGCCUUCGGGUCGUAAAAUUCUUUCGUCAGAGAAGAAAGUGCCUGAAAGUAACUGUUUAUGUAUUGACGGUACCUGUCUAGGCAGCCCCGGCUAACUCCGUGCCAGCAGCCGCGGUAAUACGUAGGGGGCGAGCGUUCUUCGGAGUGACUGGGCGUAAAGAGCACGCAGGCGGUGUUGUAAGUCAUUAGUCAAAGACUUGGGCUGAACUUUAGUAAGGCUAGGGAUACUAGAAUACUAGAGUAUAAGAGAGGAGAGUAGAACUGCAGGUGUAGCGGUGAAAUGCGUAGAUAUCAGGAGGAAUACCGUUAGCGAAGGCGGCAAUCUGGCUGGAAACUGACGCUGAGGUGCGAAAGCGUGGGUAGCAAACAGGAUUAGAUACCCGUGUAGUC
rnacentral:rRNA from 1 species